AGCUGGUCCCCGUGCAAUGGUGUUUACAACUAAUUGAUCACAACCAAUUACAGAUUUCUUUGUUCCCUCUCUACUCCCACUGUUUCACUUGACUAGCCUUUA
ensembl:misc_RNA Y_RNA Y RNA